AAUUGGUCAGAGUCGUCUAAACAUUUCUAUCAUCACGACAACGAAGGAACGAAGUCAGGACUCAGGAACACGUACCACCACCACCAACAAGAAUUGCGAUUUUACUGCUUUACGAUUUCUUAGGGGUUUUUUUUAUAGCUUGUCUUCCAUUUUCAAAGUACCAGUUGGGUUCAAGUGGACUUAAUAUCGACUUCUCCAUUCCAACAUUCAUGUCUCUACUUUGAUCAAUGGCUUCUCAUUCCAUGGCUGCUGCUCAACCUUGUUCUAGUUAUGGUGUUUUUUUAAGUUUCCGAGGUGAAGACACUCGUGAUGGUUUUACAGAUCAUCUCUAUACAGCCUUGACUCAAUCAGGAAUCCGCACUUUCCGGGAUGAUGCAACGGAGAGAGGAAAACUGCUGAAGCCAGAGCUGAAGAAAGCCAUCCACAAUGCUGCAAUAUCACUCAUUGUCUUCUCAAAAAACUAUGCAUCCUCCAAGUGGUGUCUCGAUGAGGUUUUGAUGAUUAUUGAAGAACACAAGACUUCAACCUGUAAACAUGAAGUUAUACCUGUAUUCUAUAAAACAGACCCAUCUGAUGUCCGAAAUCAAACAGGAAGCUUUAAAGAAGCAUUUGAUGCGUAUGAUGAUGAAAUCAAGGCAGAAACAGACCUUGAAAAGAAGAAAGAAUUGCUGGAGAAGGUGGGGGCAUGGAGAUAUUCUCUUAAAGAAGCUGCAAACUUCACAGGAAUGGUAUUUAAAGAUGGGUACGAGUCCAAAUUCAUAAUCAACAUUGUGAAUGUUGUAAGAAAGAAACUGGACUACAAAUCCCUUUACAUUGAGGAGAAACUAGUGGGAAUAGAGAAUGGUGUUGCUGAGAUUGAAUCAUGGUUACAAGAUCCAUCACCUGAUGCAGUAGUCCUUGUGAUUGAUGGGAUGGGAGGCAUUGGGAAAUCAACCAUAGCCAAAUGCAUAUUUAACUUAAACUCACGUAACUAUGAUGCCAGUUGCUUUCUGGCAGAUAUUAAUGAGACCUCAGAUCAACCUGGUGGAUUGCUUCGCUUGCAAAGUCAGCUUCUUUCCAAUAUUUUGAAAAGUGAAAAGGAAGAAAUGAUAUGGAACAUUCAUGAAGGAACCAAUAAGAUUGAAAAUGCCAUACACAUGAAAAAGGUACUUGUUAUCCUUGAUGAUGUUGCAACAUUAAAACAGUUGGAUGUGUUACUAGGACCUAAAAGGUUCGCCCCUGGAAGUAAAGUGAUGAUAACAACUAGGCACAAGUGGUUGUCAACCGCCUUCACAGUUCAUCCUAAGGUUCACUCUGUUAAAACAUUAUCCACGGAUGAUGCUGUUGAGCUCUUUAGUUUUUAUGCCUUUCAUCAAGAUCAAUCCAAUCAGCUCUACAUUUUCAAGUCAGAUCCAUUUGUUCGUUAUUGCACAGGUCUUCCUUUGGCUCUCAAAGUAUUGGGUUCUUCCCUACGUGGAAAGACGAAUGAUGAAUGGGAAGAUACAAUGCACAAGCUGGCAGCAAUUCCUCAUCCCGGGGUUCAGAAUGUUCUAAAAAUAAGUUAUGAGACUUUGGAAGAUGACACGGUUAAAGAUUUAUUCUUGCAUAUUGCUUGUUUCUUUGAGGGUGAGGAAAAAGACUACAUUGUGAAGUUAUUGGACCAAUGUGAUCUAUACCCUGUGGGUGGGAUCAAGAAUCUUAUGGAUAGAUGUCUACUAUAUAUUGAAGAUGAGAGAGUGAUGAUGCAUCAAUUGAUCAAGGAGAUGGGACGAGGUGUUGUUCGCCAGGAAUCACCAAAGAAUCCUGGAAAAAGAAGUAGACUGUGGCAUCAUGACGACUGUUUCAAUGUGUUGCAAAGCCAUUCUGGUACAAACAAAGUAGAGGGAUUCAUGCUUGAUAUGCAAAAGAUCAAGGAAACUAAAUCAACACAUGGGUUUGAAGCCUAUCUUGGGAAAAGAAUGCAUGGAAAUGAUGCAAAUUUCAAAAUUGGUGCACUGGAAAAGAUGAAGAACCUAAUGCUGCUUCAACUAAACUAUGUAACGUUUUCUGGGAGAUACAAGAAACUGCCAAAAAAGUUACGAUGGUUGAGUUGGCAUGGAUUUUCUUUAAAAGCUAUACCAUGUGACAUUUCUUUGGAGAAGCUGGUGGUUCUCGACAUGAGUUACAGCAAACUAAAGCGAGUCUGGGAUGGCUACAAGUUUAUCGGAUCACUAAAAAUCCUGAAGCUUAGCUAUUCUGUUGAGCUAAUCGAAACCCCUGAUUUUUCUGGACUCCCUGGUCUUGAGAGCUUGAUCCUGAAAGGCUGUUCGGGUUUAAUCCGGGUUGGAGAAUCGAUUUCAUACCUUAAAGAACUGGUCUUGUUGGAUCUAACCAAUUGUAGAAGCUUAAGAGAGUUUCCAUGCUUACCUACAUCCAUUGUAUCGCUUCAAAUGUCUGGUUGCCCAUUCCUUGGAGUUCUUGGAUGCAUCCAAAGCUUUGGUUCACGUCCAUCUGCAUCAUUUUCUUUUUUGACGAAAGCAAAUUUCUCAUUUUGCAAUCUCUUUGAUAAUUCCUUCCCAAAUGACUGGAGUGGUCUCGUCUCACUUAAAGAUUUGAAUAUAAGUGGCAACUAUGUCACUUCCUUACCAAACUGUAUUCAAACCCUACCUACAAUACAGAAGCUCAGUGUUGAAAGGUGUUCAAAAAUCCAAUCAAUUCUAGGUCUCCCAGAAUUUGUCCAUACAUUGUAUGCCAACUACAAUAAGUCGUUGGAAAAAGUACAGCCUGCAAAAACUUCCAUGACCGCAGUCUACCAACAUAACUGCCCAAAAUUGUGCGAAGUGGAGGGUCGUUAUAAGCUUCAAUCACUAGAUAAAGUUGAUAGAAAAAUCGUACGUUGUUUGGGUUUAGAAGAAUCAAAUGCAGGUGAAAGAACAGACUUGUGUCUUCAGGUGUUACAUGAGUUUGGUAUAUUCAGCACCUAUGUUCCAGAGAAACAGAUCCCUUCGUUCUUCAUGUAUAAAAAAAAGGGCAAACAAAUUUCAUUCAAAGUUCCUUGGCAUCAAAAUAGUUGGACAAUAAUUGGCUUUAAUAUGUGUGUCGUGUUCUAUUAUUUAAACAAAUGCCAUCCUUUUUUGGAGAUUGAAGUUUAUAAUAAGACUGAGCAUGUGUGGUGGACAUACCAAAAAAAGAAUCAAGAAAUCCCUAGGACUGUGGAAAAGCUCGCAUGGUUAAGCUUUUGGAGGUGUGGCAAUCUAUUGGAGGCUGGAGAUGAGAUUUUUAUACGCGUCAUUAUGGGUCCAGGUGUAGUGGAGGAAUGUUGUAUAAACUUAAUAUAUGAAGGCAAUGACGAACAGCAAUUACUUGAUGAGGAAACAAAAAAGGGGGAAGAGGCUUGAUGGGGAAACAAAACAGGUUCAUCUUGUCAAUGCAUCUGAUCAUAUGUUGUGGACAGACAAAAUGAAUAGAGAUGUACCGAAUUUUGUUUUUAGAGGGAAGAGGUUUGAUUUCUUCAAUAAUAAAUGGCCUUUGUAAAUUCUAACUAUUUUCCGUGUCACAUCUGAAGUGCAUGGGUGGCUACAAACUCAUAAUAGAAUAAUAAAGGUUAUACAAGUUUUUAAACAGUGUGUUUUUAUGAACAUUUAUUCCUUUUUAAGUAUGAUUUUUCUUGUCUCUUUUUGGUAAGGCAGGAAAGAGCAGCCAGGGGCUAUGUAUGAGUCAGCCGUUUCGGCAGCUGGACGACAGCAAAAGUAGUCAGUUUUAGUGACGGUCGACACCACACACUUCAAUUUUAGCCAUGAAAUCAGAUUUGGGAGCCUCCAAGUUGCCAUUCUGGUAACUCACUCUAAUGCUCAGCUCUCCAUAGUGGACGAACCCUUGGUGCUCACCAAUACCACUGCCGAGAACCACCUAUUUUAUCUUCGUCUGUCAAGAAGCAAUGGUGUCAUCAAAAAUACAUCAUCCUUCGGCCACUGACAAAACUCCAUCGACAAUGUUUCAGUUCGUCAAGCAACUGUAUUCAUCUGUGCACCGCCAUCAACAACUAGUUAAUCGAGGCAACCCUCCAAGUCGUCGUUCAUAACAUGCUCCUCCUACGCUCCUAUAUUCAUCGCACAGCAAGAAGAAUUAAAUAUUUUUUCCUGGAAUUUUGAUUGAUUAAAGGAGAAGGGGUAAAUAUCUAUUUAUCUGGUGUUAUUUGAUGGAAGAGAAAGAAUAAGAUAUACCAAUUUUGAUGAUUUCUUUUUGUUCCUUUAUGCACACAAACCAUAAGAAAACAGUUCUAGUAAGCAAUAUAAAUGUAAUUAUAUACUUUAGUUUAAAAAAAAUGAAACUAAAAACCAUAUAUAA